AGUGAACGCUGGCGGUAGGCCUAACACAUGCAUGUCGAACGGCAGCACAGUAAGAGCUUGCUCUUACGGGUGGCGAGUGGCGGACGGGUGAGGAAUACAUCGGAAUCUACUUUUUCGUGGGGGAUAACGUAGGGAAACUUACGCUAAUACCGCAUACGACCAACGGGUGAAAGCAGGGGAUCUUCGGACCUUGCGCGAUUGAAUGAGCCGAUGUCGGAUUAGCUAGUUGGCGGGGUAAAGGCCCACCAAGGCGACGAUCCGUAGCUGGUCUGAGAGGAUGAUCAGCCACACUGGAACUGAGACACGGUCCAGACUCCUACGGGAGGCAGCAGUGGGGAAUAUUGGACAAUGGGCGCAAGCCUGAUCCAGCCAUACCGCGUGGGUGAAGAAGGCCUUCGGGUUGUAAAGCCCUUUUGUUGGGAAAGAAAAGCAGCAGGUUAAUACCCCGCUGUUCUGACGGUACCCAAAGAAUAAGCACCGGCUAACUUCGUG
rnacentral:rRNA from 1 species